rfam:Sinorhizobium meliloti 1021 complete chromosome
CAGGCAUGCUGGAGCCCCGCAGCGGCGCCUGGGCGCGCAAAGGAACGACAAGGUUCGCCGCCCGACACCGUAACUUCAACCGGGGCUUAA